rnacentral:rRNA from 1 species
CCUACGGGAGGCAGCAGUGGGGAAUAUUGGGCAAUGGGCGCAAGCCUGACCCAGCAACGCCGCGUGAAGGAAGAAGGCUUUCGGGUUGUAAACUUCUUUUGUCAGGGACGAAGCAAGUGACGGUACCUGACGAAUAAGCCACGGCUAUCUACGUGCCAGCAGCCGCGGUAAUACGUAGGUGGCAAGCGUUAUCCGGAUUUACUGGGUGUAAGGGGCGUGUAGGCGGGACUGCAAGUCAGAUGUGAAAACCACGGGCUCAACCUGGGGCCUGCAUUUGAAACUGUAGUUCUUGAGUACUGGAGAGGCAGGCGGAAUUCGUGGUGUAGCGGUGAAAUGCUUAGAUAUCACGAAGAACCCCGAUUGCGAAGGCAGCCUGCCGCAGCGUUACUGACGCUGAAGCUCGAAAGCGCGGGUAUCGAACAGGAUUAGAUACCCCUGUAGUC